rnacentral:tRNA from 1 species
ACAUCAGUAGUGUAGCGGUCAUCACCGGGCGUUGCCAACGCUCGAACCGGGUUCGAAUCCCGGCUGGUGUA